rnacentral:tRNA from 1 species
GGGAGUAUAGCUCAAUUGGUAGAUCGCAUGCUUAGCAUGCAUGAGGUCCUGGGUUCAAUCUCCAGUAUCCCCA